GACGAACGCUGGCGGCGUGCUUAACACAUGCAAGUCGAACGGAAAGGCCAUGCGCUUGCGGGGUGCUCGAGUGGCGAACGGGUGAGUAACACGUGAGUAACAUGCCCUUGACAGUGGGAUAACUUCAGGAAACUGGGGCUAAUACCCGAGAGGAGCUCCUGCUGCAUGGUGGGGGUUGGAAAGAUUCGGCGGUAUGGGAUGGACUCGCGGCUUAUCAGCUUGUUGGUGGGGUAGUUGAUUACCAAGGCUUUGAAGGGUAGCCGGCAUGAGAGGGUGACCGGCCACAUGGGGACUGAGAUACGGCCCAGACUCGUACGGGCGGCAGCAGUGGGAAACAUUACACAAUGGGCGGAAGCCUGUGGCAGCAACGCCGGGUGCGGGAUGCCGGCCUUCUGGUUGUGAACCGCUUUGGACUGUAACGAAGCGUGCGUGACGGUAAUGAGUAAGAAAGCAACGGCUAACUACGUG
rnacentral:rRNA from 1 species